rnacentral:rRNA from 1 species
CUACGGGAGGCAGCAGUGGGGAAUCUUGCGCAAUGGGCGAAAGCCUGACGCAGCGACGCCGCGUGAGGGAAGAAGGUUCUCGGAUCGUAAACCUCUGUCGGGGGGGAAGAAACCCGGGAUGGCUCAUACCCAUUCCGAUUGACGGUACCCCCUAAGGAAGCAUCGGCUAACUACGUGCCAGCAGCCGCGGUAAUACGUAGGAUGCAAGCGUUGCUCGGAAUUAUUGGGUGUAAAGGGCGCGUAGGUGGUCUGGUAAGUCAGUGGUGAAAGCCCUCGGCUCAACCGAGGAAUUGCCCCUGAUACUGGUGGACUUGAGUACUGGAGAGGGGAGUGGAAUUCCUGGUGUAGCGGUGAAAUGCGUAGAUAUCAGGAGGAACACCGGUGGCGAAGGCGGCUCCCUGGACAGAUACUGACACUGAGGCGCGAAAGCGUGGGUAGCAAACAGGAUUAGAUACCCGAGUAGUC